CUCUUUUAACCGACAUCGAUCAGUGACAUGUUAAGUUCAGCCUACCCAGCAAUUUUAUGGAAUUUGUCCAUUAUUUUCAAUCACAAUGUAUGCUGCCAAAUACACCACACAAAUUAUCAAUGUCAUGUGGCCAGUAUUAAAAACAGACAAAUUCUCGGUAUUCUUGAGGUAUUUCCCCAAACAUUUCAACAUUCGAUACUUGUCUAAAUUGUCUACAUAAACGUCGAAUCCUUAAUAUUUCUUACCUGUGUUUAUCUUCCUUUAAAUUUUAGUGUAAAAUGUGUUCUUUUUACCUACAUUACGAUAUACAUCUCGACACACAUUACCUAAAAAGUAGCACGAUCAAGCGAUGGCGAUGUCGCUCGUUCUUCGGUGGUUUCACUCUCACCGCUCUCACUGAGUCACUGCGACGUUAAUAUUUU